AAAAAAAAAAAAGCCUCUCCUCUGAUUUGAGGAGUUUUAGGAAUAACAAGUAGGAUAAGUUUGGUUUUGCGGGCGAAACACCCGGCCGGUUGAUUUUUUAAGGGUCCUGUUGCCUGGUGACCGGAGGUGGGAUCCAGAGAAGACCCCCCCCCCCCCCCCGACAGCUCUGAGGCGGGCUGAGGAAGCGGGUGCGGGCGCCCGCAGAGCCGGCAGAGGGGGGACCCCGGGGCCCGAGGAGUAGCCUGCCUUCAGCUUCUCCCGGCCAUCCUGGCAUCUCCGGCCGAGGCCUCUGCUUUGUGCCCUGCAGCCUGGCUUCCUGAGGCCUGGUCGUGUGAGAUGCGGCAUCAGAGUGUCCUAAAGAGUUUUAACAGUGAGAUGGGAUUUGCACUUGUCCGGCUUGCCUUCAUAACGCACUGUAUCUGGAAGGACCCAGCACAUCGCCAGAAAGAACCAGGCUUUUUGGAGCCAGUCACGGGUGUCGUCAGAAUCCAGAGGAGGGCGUCCCAACGGGGGGGCCCCUUUGUCCAUAGAGAAUCACCUUCGAAAAGUCUCUUGGCCGUACAUGUUCUUAGUUUCUUGUCCUCUUUCAUCUUUUUUUCUUUCCUUCUUUUCUUCCUCGUCUCUCUCUCCCUUCCCUCUGCUCUGUGCAUUCACGAAGGAUGUUAAGUUCCCCGUGUUGUCUGAAAACUGUCCUUGGCCAUUUUCUUGUAAACUCAAAAAGACCCGCCAGCAUCAGAGUGUUUUCGGUUGGAUGAAAUAUUCUGUAUCAGUAUUCUGAUGUAAUGCAGUUGAAAGAUGUCCUCUCUGGGGGUGAGGGUAAGGAAGUAAUAAAGAGAUGAGGGGGACAGAGCACCUCAUUCCCCUGGAAAGGCAGGCGGGCAGCUGGGUGGGGUGUGUACGGGGAGGGUGCAGUGGAGGUACGGAGUCCGGCGAGGGACAGCUAAGGCGGCCGCAGCAGGGAUCGUAAGAAGGUAGAUUCGCAGACUGGUUAAGUCAGACCCAUAGGAGCUGCUGACGGUUCGGAUUUGGGAGGCGAGGAAGCGAGCUGGCCGAUGCCGCAGCGGGGCCGAUGCCGCAGCGGGGCUGGAGCUCCGCGGAGAACGCGGGGCUGUGAGUUCUCGGUGAUGAAGAGGUAGUGGAAGUCCAAGAGCUGGACAGGAUCAUCGAGAGAAAGGCUGCAAGGAAGGAGAAGAUAAAAGAGUUAAGAACGGAGGGACAGGUCAGGGGGGCUGAGGAGCACUCCAAGAGGGAGAAGGGAAACCUGAGGGAGCGGAACGCAGAAGCCGAGGGUGAAGCAGGAGGGAGGGGACGACAGUGCCGCCCCCCGCAGAGAAGCCAAGGGCACAGGUCAGAAUGCCCCUUCGGCUUCGCGGUGCAGCGUCCUUUCUGAUCACACUUGGACCGGCGUCGGUGCCGCGCUGGGAGCUAGAGAGCAGCGGAUUGCGGAGUGCGUGGGCCUCAACUCCUGGGCUUCUUUCACACUGUUCUGUAGAGCGGUGCUCCCAGACACAGGCUCCUCUCCUGGCACCAUGUGAAUAGCACCCCCCACCCCACCCCCCUGCCAGGCCUGUGUGGAAGUGAAGCUUCUUAGCCUAGACCCGAGGCUUGGCUCUGGGAGGAGGGAAGGGCUGGUUGCUGUAGAGGAAUAUGCUUUCAUUGUUUUAGUUUUGAGAAGAUGGGAGCCACUGUUUUGGCACCGAGGAAGAAAACUAGAAGAGAGAGGCUCUCUCUCUUCAGAACAGAGGGCAGAAAAUAAAUGAAGGGGUGGGAUUUAGAAAGAGAUGUGGAAGCUAGCCUUGUGUGGGAGUCAGGAGGACAGGAGGUAAGUGCCCCGCCGAGCCCUAGCUCUGAAAUGGAGCUGGUUCCUCGGUGCAACCUGCUGCUUAGAUUUUGUGAGAGUCGGCCUGGCCUGGGGCAACAGUCCCGGGCUUGGUGUUUUUCUAGACUGCCGUUGGGCUUGUGUACCUGAGCUGUCCGUCUGCGCUCAUUCCCUGAUCUUAGAGUCUAAUGCUUCAUUCAUUCAUUUAGUGACAGGUCCAUUCAGCAAACAGCACCUGCUAUGUUCAGACACUGUAGUAAGCUCCAGUGGGUGCAAGACUGAAUACAACCCAAUUCUUGCCCCCACAGAGCUUAGAGUCCUGUGGCAGGAACAGACAAGCAAGCAGACAGAGUGCCAUGUGAUCGUGACUUUCAUCUUGAUGAAGUGCUAUUCCAACCUCCCCUGGGGUAAGAAAGAAGGGGUGUGGUGGUAGGGAGGCUUGUUUAUAUCCAGCUCUGUGUUGCUCUGCUACAUGUUGGAGUUAGUUGUGUCUCCACCUGACUAGUCUAUUGUGGACAUUAGAAUCUGUGCAGUUUUGGUCCUUGUAUCCUCUGUGCCGUGCAUAGAGCCUGGUAUUGGGAAGAUGUUGAACAGAUACAAGUACUUGGUGAAUCCUUCCUGUGGGCUCUAAACCCUGAUGGUUAUAUCUUUGCCUAGUGUAUCUCAACCUUUUAAAUUCUGGGUUCCCCUUUCAUGAUUCAUCAUCCUCCAUCUCCCAGAUUCUCACUUAAAAAGAUUUAGUUUUGGUGUGCCUAGGUGGCACAGUGGGUUGGGUGUCCAACUUUUGGUUUCAGCUGGGGUUGUGAUCUCUGUGUCAUGGGGUGAGUUGGGAUCCAUGCUGAGUUGGGAGUCUGCUGGGGUUUCUCCCUCUCCCUCUCCCCCUCCCCACUGCAUACUCUUUCUCUCUCUAAAAUAAAUAAAUCAAUCUUUUAAAAAUAUAAUAAAGGGAUACCUGGGUGGCUUAGUUGGUUGAGUGUUACCUUUGGCUCAGUCAUGAUCCCAGGGUCCUAGAAUUGAGUUCCACAUUGGGCUCCCUGCAAGGAGUCUGUUUCUUCUUUUCCCUCUGCCCCUCCCCCUGCUUGUGCUUGCUCUCUCUCU